GAACAGGUUCUGAUUGUUCUUGGGGCUCAGGAAUUCAGCAGCUGGGAGGGGCAGACAGGGUUCAGAUUUACCAGGUGCAAUAACCUGCAAUCAUCGGAAACAAAAUAAUUGAGGCCAUAUAAAUUCUGGAACUUUGGGCUAUUUACAUGGGAAGGAAAACAUUUUAAAUCAACCUGAGAAGAAAGCACUAAAUUGAACCCAUCAUGAAAAUGAUUCCUGAAAAGGUGAAGAAAGAAAAUAAUCGUGAACUAUGCAAAGUACAGCAAGACCAAAGUUCACGGACUCGGAAGUGAGGAAAAUGGUGAUUUUUCUCUGUAACUGAUCUUAUUCUGCAGCCCCAGUCCAGGAGAACAGAAACUUGUUGAUUAAAUGUAAUUCAGCCUAUUUGCAUUUACAACUAUAAAUAUUCAG
rnacentral:lncRNA from 1 species